UUAAACCGCAUCCUUAUCUCGUUCGUGCCCCCAAUUUUUCGCUCCACUAAUCACGAUCCCUGCCUUCCUCCUACGACCUCAGAGAUGACCUCGCCCUCGACCAACCUGCACACACAAGUUGCCCAAGCCCAGGGGCAGGAUUCGAGCAGCCGUCGGUCUCAACGACGCAGGAAGAGGGCACUAUUCCUCCAACACGUAUCGCAGCACCGGCGUCCAUGCUCAAGGUCGGCGGAGCUGAUUUCCGUUCGCACCAGUUGGAGCCAAUAGCCGUGGCGUGCAGCGGCCACGACGACAAGAUCAAGUUCAGGCAAUCUUGGAUUCUCGAUAACCAACAAAAGCAGAUUUAUUUUGUAGUUCUCCUGCCGGAUUCUCUUCGUGUCUUUGUAUUGGUUUCUCUGAGCAUGUCUCUUUCCGUUUCUCCGUAUGUAGGAUGCGGUGACAACUGACAACUAUGUCAGCGAGCAUAGCAGCCCGCGCAAUGGAGGCAGCCAGAUCUGGAGGUUAGGUCUCCGCCGGCAGGAGCUGAGGCGUCAUUAACCACCAAUACCACGUAUCACUACGCCACGGGCUCGCGCCGUCGCUGCUUCGGGAUUUGGACACGCUGGACUGUAAUUGGGAUCACAUUUUUCUGUAAUUCUUGAUUGCAAUCCAUGAAAUCUCUGCAAUGCUGAAUAUA